ACUCGAAAAUAUGUGGAAACUAAUUACUUUAUUGGUUGUUUUCGCAGCCGCGGCCGUGAAGUGUCAACACACAACACCAGCACCGAUCUUCUGUAACAACGAUGACGACUGUCGCAGACACUGUGACGAGACCCAUCAAGGCACGUGCGACACGGCGAACGAUCACACUUGUGAAUGCGUGAGAGAUCACGGAGAAGUGAUAUACUGUAACGAUGACCACGACUGCGCAAUCCACUGCGCCCGCCAUAUUGGCCGAUGCCGCGAUAACAACCAAUGUCGAUGUCUUGCCGGCUCGCACUGGUGGGGGCCCUGAUACCAGGCAGACCGGUCCCAUUAAGGAGAAAGUUUAUUAUAUUUGUUGACAAUGUACGUACGUAAGUGACAAUAAAUUGUUUCAGCAUAAACGGAA